rnacentral:rRNA from 1 species
CUGUGUGAAUUGCAGAAUCCCGUGAACCAUCGAGUCUUUGAACGCAAGUUGCGCCCGAGGCCAUUCGGCUGAGGGCACGUCUGCCUGGGCGUCA